GUUAGCGGCAAGCCUAACACAUGCAAGUCGAACGAGAACAGGGCUUCGGCCCCUAGUAAAGUGGCGGACGGGUGCGUAACACGUGGAUAAUCUGCCUAUCGGCGGGGGACAACAGUCCGAAAGGAUUGCUAAUACCCCAUACGUCGGCGAGCUCUUCGGAGCACGUCGGGAAAGAUGGCCUCUAUUUAUAAGCUAUCACCGAAUGAUGAGUCCGCGUCCCAUCAGCUAGUUGGCGGGGUAAUGGCCCACCAAGGCGAAGACGGGUAGCUGGUCUGAGAGGAUGAUCAGCCACACUGGAACUGAGACACGGUCCAGACUCCUACGGGAGGCAGCAGUGGGGAAUAUUGGGCAAUGGGCGAAAGCCUGACCCAGCUAUGCCGCGUGAGUGAUGAAGGCCUUCGGGUCGUAAAGCUCUGUGGGGAGAGAAGAAUCGCCUUGUGGCUAACAUCCACGAGGUCUGACGGUAUCUCCUUAGCAAGCACCGGCUAACUACGUGCCAGCAGCCGCGGUAA
rnacentral:rRNA from 1 species